rnacentral:rRNA from 1 species
UAACGGCCCACCAAAGCGACGAUCAGUAGCCGGCCUGAGAGGGUGGACGGCCACAUUGGGACUGAGACACGGCCCAGACUCCUACGGGAGGCAGCAGUGGGGAAUAUUGCACAAUGGGGGAAACCCUGAUGCAGCGACGCCGCGUGAGCGAAGAAGUAUCUCGGUAUGUAAAGCUCUAUCAGCAGGGAAGAAGAUGACGGUACCUGACUAAGAAGCACCGGCUAAAUAC